UUCACAGCGCAUGCUCCUCUCCAGAUCACCUCGCCCUCAGCCCUUGACUCUGCUGGAAUCAGAGGGCUGGAAUGCAACUGCUGACUCCCUGUGCUGCUUCAGGCCUCUCUACUUGCACACAGUGCCCCGAAUGUCCUUCGACUGCCCUCCUUCCCGGCGCAUGUGUGGCAAACUCCUACUCGUCUUGGAAGAGCCAGCUCAAGCACCUCCUUGGAAGUUCUGUGAAGGCAGGAAUUCAGUUCAUUCAGAUUGUCCUCACCAUUGUCCUCCUAGAGGUUAGCUUGCAGCUGGGAGCAAGGGAGGCCCUCAGGAAUGAAUGAUUGGGGAGUCUGGGCACCUGGGUUCUUGUCUAGGCUCUGCUGCUGACUUGCUACGUGCUGUUGGGAAGUUGUCUCCUUUCUCUGGAUCUCACUUCUAACAUGAGGGACUGAGAAAGAAUCAAUACAUGAAAUCAGUCUUUUUAAAUGAAUGAGGUGUUUUGACUUUAGGGCUUGUUGGAUGUCUUCCAGCCCGUUAGGAUCCAUGACAGGCGUUCCCAAAUCCUAGUCCCAAAUGCUGAGGGCAAACUCUUUCUUUCUUCUCUCCCUUGCUUCCUUCUCUCUCUUUCUCUUUGUAUUGCUUGAUCCCUGGAAGGAAUCCAAUUUUAAUCUACUCCCGAGACCAAUUCAAAUUGUUUUGCUGUCCUGCAAUGUGCCUUGUAUCCAGUCUGUGAAACAUGAUUUUACAGUCUCCUGGUGAAAUGUGGUUGCUGUUUGACCGUUCUCUAGGGCUGUUUUCUAGAGGGUGAUCAUGGACUGCAGACUGAUAAGACAAGGUAUCCAGGGGACUGCUCGUCCAAGGCCGCCAACUCCAGGGAACGUCAGGAAACAAAGAGGCAUUUCCCUGCACAAACCCCUUAUGCGUUUAAGCCUGUCUUGCUGUGUACCUCUCAGAGGACAUUUGAGCCAAGGCUCGAAGCCAUGAAAGAGUGAGCCAUGUAAACAUCCCGUGUAGAGGGUCCGGACAGAGGCUAUAGCAAGUACAAAGGCCCAGAGAUGAGGAUAGCCACCAAAACUUUGCCUCGUGUGCGCGAGGGGCACUGCUUGAGGAUCAAACGUCCGGUGUCAUCUCUAAGAGUAAAGGCCAAACCUGAUUCUCAAACCUGUUCACGCAAGGGAAAGAAUAGCUCCAAAAUCUGCUUUCCAACUCUUGACAACCACUGAUUUCACAAAGGCCGGCCCCGUUCUCCUAGCCUCCAAUGCCAGUCCUGUCAGGUAUCAGUAUAUGGCCUCUCGGCUCCAAAUCCACUCUUCAUGGCCUGCUUUGGGAGAAUGCAGCUGGGCCCUUUAUGUGUUUUUCUUGGAAAGACAGAGCCGGGGAAAGAGGACUUCCUUCCUGGUUGCAGGUGCACAAAUGGCUUCUCCAGCGCCAGGCUCCUGCCCUAGUGCUGGCCCAUAGCACAGAGCCGCCAACAGCUUCCUCCAGCAGCCCCCUCAGGCAAGGCCCUAGCUGAACGCCUCCCAUGAGGCCCCUCCCCUCGAACGUCUUUCUCAGCCUUCAAAAGGGUGGAUUUCCAUAAAGUUCCAGAGUGCACCUAUCCCAUUAGUUCGUGGGUUUUUAUAUUAAACUUUGUCUCUUCGAA